CUUCUACUCUUUGUCCCGUUAAGUGGUGUGAAGGCUGCUAAGAAUGAAGACAGGCAUCUCAUAAAGCAUGCAUUGGUCACAUAGUAUACUUGUUCCUGGAUAAGCUAUCUGUGCUGUGCAUAAGCCACGUGCGGCACAUGGUGCUUGUCUGACUGUGGCCAAUUGUGACUUCAGGUGCCAGGGAGCAUGAAAUGUUUGAUACCUGGAAGGCUGAUCUGGGCUGGAACAAUUUCCAAGAAUGACUGUGCCUGAUAUUCUCUCCCUGAUAACCAGACAUAUAGCAAGUGUAACAGGAAAUGAUGUUAAAUACCUCAGGCUUUCACAGAAUUGAGUCUUCAAAGUCAGUAUCAAUAUUUUUAUUGUUUUGUUCAGGACAGAUUACAUCCUCUCUUACGGUCACUUCACUUGAAUAAGUUUGAAAUGAUCAAGUUGAUCAACUUUUCUGGAAACCAUGAUGUAUCUGCUCACCAGUUCAGACAAUGCACCCUUUUGUUUCCCCUGAUUCAGACAGCAACGGGAAGAGAGGAAAGCAGGUUGCCACAUGGGGCUUGGAAGAACUGACUGUCUUGUUAGGGUGCGGUUGGAUAUCAGACCUCAGGUUGCACUCUAAGAUAAAACAGUGUUACUUGCUCACACAUUACACGAUUGACCUCUUACCAUGAGUGAGGACUGCUCUGGCCAGAAAGGGAAUCAGAAGAGUCCUGGUACAAAAAAAAGUCCAUCUAGAGCUUAGCAAAUGACUCACUGCACUGAAGAUGCUUUGGCUCUCAGCUCUGAGGAGGCCGAGCUCUUCUGCUGAGAAGUCUGUGACCCUUGCAAUUAGGUGGAGGUAGAGCUGCUGGGGAAUCAGAUAGAAGGAUUGAGAAACCCUGUGGAGAAAGCAAGAAAUUAUCUAUGUGUGCCAAAAAGAGGUGAUCAGAGCCAAGACAGGUGACUCAUGGGUUAAGCUCCUUGGGCUCCAGGGCAUGUAUUUCCCACACUGUGGAAAAGAAGCUUUAAAGACUCACCAGUAUUUUUCUGUAGUGUGAAAUAUCUCCCAGCAGGCACUCAGCACUGGAAUAUGAUUUCUGGUCACUGGGAGACUGAACCUUUCUUAGUAAGGACUGUUGGAACUCAUUCACCAGUCUCCAGAGCAACCUUUUCUGACCAUGUAUUGCCAGUAGGAAUUGCUUCUGUGAGUGGAGGGAAGGAAACACAAGCUGCAGCCAAGAGCAGACAGUGGAAGCAGAAUCGAAAGGGCCUGCAGCAUGUCCCUGUCCUGCAGGCUGUGGUGUGUGAAUAUCCAUUAAAAAGGAGACCUGGAUACAUGGU
rnacentral:lncRNA from 7 species